GGGCCCAGGUCAGUUCAGCUGGGGGCCCAGGUCAGUUCAGCUGGGAGCCCAGGUCAGUUCAGCUGGGAGCCCAGGUCAGUUCAGCUGGGAGCCCAGGUCAGUUCAGCUGGGAGCCCAGGUCUGUUCAGCUGGGGGCCCAGGUCAGUUCAGCUGGGGGCCCAGGUCAGUUCAGCUGGGAGCCCAGGUCAGUUCAGCUGGGAGCCCAGGUCAGUUCAGCUGAGGGCCCAGGUCAGCUCAGCUGAGGGCCCGGGUCAGCUCAGCUGCUAAUGUGUGCUCCUACGUUGGAAGGCUCUUCGCGUGGACAGCCGUGCUCGUCCCCUUCUUCUUCUCUUCCUGCGCAUCGUUGAGGUCACUUUCUGCU